CGCACUUCCGGCCUGCUCACUUCCGGCUUCGCGGUUAGGGUGCCAGCGCCAGAGGCCGGGUUGAGAGGUCGCGGGUGCGAGUGUCCACGGCGGUUGGUUGCCCGGAGCCUGUGACAGCUGUAGCUGCUCCCCGCCCCCGAGACGUCGGGGAGGAGACGAAGGAAAAGCUCCCGGUCGCGCUUCCGGUCCCUUCUGCCUCGGGCCGACGCGAUUCCCGAGGGCUGCGACCGGGAGAGCCCGCGACGGAGCGCUGCGGGCUUCCCCGCUGACAGACAGGUCUGUCUGAUUGCGGCAGUGAUGCUUCAGCUCUCGGUACAGCUCGGCAGCCACAGGAGAAGUCCAGUCUAGAGUUGAGGUGAUUGGGGUGUUUGUAUUGCUUUGUAAGGUCAGCCCAUCUUAAUCAAGGCCUCGGACUGUCCAGAUUGCCUGAGUUGGCUAAAGGUGUCUGCCAUGGCUCAAGAGUCUCCCAAAAAUUCUGCAGCAGAAAUUCCAGUAACUAGUAAUGGAGAAGUUGACGAUGCUCAUGAACAUGGUUAUAAUCGGGAUUUGAAGCAUUCAUUAGCAUCUGGACUUGGACUCUCAGAAACUCAGAUUACAUCUCAUGGCUUUGACAGUACCAAAGAGGGGGUUGUUGAAGCAGGAGCAUCCCAAGGUUCCUCAGCACCACCUUUGCCAUGUGUUCUGUCUCCCAGCAGGGUGGCAGCUAGUCAGCUGACCCAGCAAGCAGGUGAUCUGACUGUUCCUGCAGGUGGCCAAAGAACACACACAAAGGGAGGACCAGUUAUUUUAGCAGAUGAAAUUAAAAAUCCUGCAAUGGAGAAGUUAGAACUUGUUAGAAAAUGGAGUCUCAACACAUACAAGUGUACCCGACAAAUUAUAUCUGAGAAACUAGGCCGUGGCUCAAGAACUGUGGACCUUGAACUUGAAGCUCAGAUUGAUAUCUUAAGAGAUAAUAAGAAAAAAUAUGAAAACAUUCUGAAGCUGGCUCAGACCUUGUCAACGCAGCUUUUCCAGAUGGUGCACACCCAAAAGCAACUUGGAGAUGCAUUUGCUGAUCUGAGUUUGAAGUCUCUAGAACUCCAUGAAGAAUUUGGCUAUAAUGCAGAUACGCAGAAGCUGCUGGCUAAAAACGGGGAGACUCUUCUUGGGGCCAUCAAUUUCUUCAUCGCUAGUGUGAACACCUUGGUGAAUAAAACAAUUGAAGAUACACUAAUGACUGUAAAACAGUAUGAAAAUGCCAGAAUUGAAUAUGAUGCGUACCGUACUGAUUUGGAAGAACUGAACCUUGGGCCACGUGAUGCAAACACUCUGCCAAAAAUUGAGCAGUCACAGCAUCUGUUCCAAAUACAUAAGGAAAAAUAUGAUAAAAUGCGAAGUGAUGUUUCUGUCAAAUUGAAAUUUCUUGAGGAAAAUAAGGUGAAAGUGCUACGCAAUCAGCUGGUCCUUUUCCACAGCGCCGUUGCUGCCUACUUUGCUGGGAAUCAGAAGCAGCUUGAACUGACACUUAAGCAGUUCCAUGUCAAAUUGAAAACCCCUGGAGUGGACGCCCCAUCUUGGCUCGAAGAACAGUAAACUCCCCUGGAAAAGAAGGAACAGUGUAUUGUUAGACAACUAAUGAACUAGUAAGAGUUAAGUAGUGUUGGGGAGGCUGUGAAGCGACCACCAUUGUAGUGGCCAUGCACAGAUAGCGUUUAUUUUUCCCUUUUCAUACAUAACAAUUGAGCUGUUAAAUUUGAUGGGAAGGUAGGUGAUUUUUUUAUGUAAACAUAAUUUCUAUAAUUCUAAACAUAAUAAUUUUCCUUCUUGAGAAAUCCUUUUUGUAUUGUGAGGGUUAUGGCUAUUUCUGUAGGUUGAAAUAUUUAAUAUAGAUUUGCACUGACAAGAUAAAAAUUCAAGGCUUUUUUUGGUCCCAGAAAUGAGGGCCAGCUAUAGUUUUCCAAGGGAGGUUUACAUGAUUUGUAUUAAUGUCAGAUAUUUUAUAUAUGAAUAUAUUCAACAUCUUUAAGAAGUUCAUGUUUGUGUAUUAUCUUAAAGAAAAGAUAUUUUGCUAUUUUGCAGAGUAAGUUUUAUGAUGUCCUGCAGUGUCACACAAGGGACAGCCCGAAUAAAUGACUGAUUGGCCCAUAGCUUGUUGCAGAUACACUUUAAAAAUUAAUCUGUAACACUGUAAUUUUGUUUAGAUAUUUAUAAAGGUCCAGGAAUCACACUGUCAUAUUUUUAUGACGCGUUUAAACAUGAAUUUGACAGUUGUGCUAGCAGUUUUGAUUUAUAAUGAAAUCUGCUUAAGAGGGAUAGGUUUUGUUUUAUUUGUUUUGUUUUGUUUUUUAACAUGUGGACAUAGAAAUGGAAAUUUUUAGCAGUUUCUAGAGCAGAAAUUUGUAGAUUAGAAAGUUAGUUUGGGAGUAAAUUCCGUUUUGAUAGAAGAGAAUUUCCAGACUGUGUUCAUUGACUUCCAUGCGUGACUAUACCAGUUAAGCCUUAAAUCACAGAUACGUGCCUUCUCCGAUGCAGUAAUUCUUGCCCAACCACUGUACAUACAUGAGGAAACCCCUAUGGAUAACAUUUGAUUCAUCUGUAACAGGAUAUUUUGUCCUCAUAAAACUACACUUGAGGUGGAUGGCAAAACCAACUUUUGAAUUUUAUAUUUGGUUUCUCUUGAUUCCUCUUGAAGAAGGGGAUGAUGGGAGAAUUUUUCCCCCUUGGGUAAUGAAAAGAUUGUGUAAAGUGUGUGAAGGUCGUUGGAAGGGAAAAUCAAGUGCUGAGUUACUUGUGCAGCACUUGUGGUCUUAUGUAUGUGGUUGGCUAGUCUACUGUGUGGUUCCUCAGUGAUGUAAUCUUGUUUAAAUGUAAAGUUCCCUUGAUUUUGUCAUACAUAUAAAUGAGUAUUUUCAGAGAUACCACUUUACCUGUUAUUUCUAUUGUGUUGAAAUGAAGUACUUAAAAUUAUUGUUGUACGUGAACUUUGUAGACUGUAUGAUGUGUUACAUAUGUCCAAAUGCCUUUUAGCUGGCCUUUUUUAUUAAUAUGCCUGUUUUGAGUGCUUAAUACAGUAUAAUGUGAUUGUGAGUCAUGAGCCUAUUUUAAAUCAUUCCCUCCUGUGUGUGUCCUCUGAGAGAGUGUCACUUUAUUCUUCAGCAGAGUCACUGGUGAUGGUUAGUUACGUUCCCCAGUGUGCCUCUGGUGUCAGUUCUGUCUUCUUAUUAAAGUGUCUGCUGCAGUA